rnacentral:miRNA from 1 species
CAGGUUUUACUAAUGACCAAAUU